rnacentral:tRNA from 1 species
GCGCCGAUGGUUUAGUGGUUAGAAUGCGGCCUUGCCAAGGCUGCGACCCGAGUUCGAAUCUCGGUCGGCGCA